AGACAUUUCAAUGUCUGUUGGUGC
rnacentral:snRNA from 1 species